rnacentral:rRNA from 1 species
AUUGAACGCUGGCGGCAUGCUUUACACAUGCAAGUCGAACGGCAGCGCGGGCUUCGGCCUGGCGGCGAGUGGCGAACGGGUGAGUAAUGCAUUGGAACGUGCCCAGUAGUGGUGGAUAGCCCGGCGAAAGCCGGAUUAAUACCGCAUACGACCUGCGGGUGAAAGCGGGGGGCCGAAAGGCCUCGCGCUAUUGGGGCGGCCGAUGUCGGGUUAGAUAGUUGGUGGGGUAAAGGCUUACCAAGGCGGCGAUCCGUAGCUGGUCUGAGAGGACGGCCAGCCACACGGGGAGUGGGACAGCGCCAAGACGACUAAGGGAGGGAGCAGUCGGGAAUGUGGGACAAUGGGGGGAAAUAUGAUACAGUGAGGGCGCGUGCGGGAAGAAGGCGUUCGGGGUGGAAUGAGGGUCUGUGCGGGAAGAAAUCCUCUGGGCUAAUACGAAGGGGGGAUGACGGUACCGGAAGAAGAAGCACCGGCUAACUACGUG